rnacentral:rRNA from 1 species
GAUGAACGCUGGCGGCGUGCCUAAUACAUGCAAGUCGAGCGAACAGAUAAGGAGCUUGCUCCUUUGACGUUAGCGGCGGACGGGUGAGUAACACGUGGGUAACCUAUCUAUAAGACUGGAAUAACUCCGGGAAACCGGGGCUAAUGCCGGAUAACAUGUUGAACCGCAUGGUUCUACAGUGAAAGGCGGCUUUGCUGUCACUUAUAGAUGGACCCGCGCCGUAUUAGCUAGUUGGUGAGGUAACGGCUCACCAAGGCAACGAUACGUAGCCGACCUGAGAGGGUGAUCGGCCACACUGGAACUGGGACACGGUCCAGACUCCUACGGGAGGCAGCAGUAGGGAAUCUUCCGCAAUGGGCGAAAGCCUGACGGAGCAACGCCGCGUGAGUGAUGAAGGUCUUCGGAUCGUAAAACUCUGUUAUUAGGGAAGAACAAAUGCGUAAGUAACUGUGCGCGUCUUGACGGUACCUAAUCAGAAAGCCACGGCUAACUACGU